rnacentral:lncRNA from 1 species
CACAUCCACAAUUUUGAGAAGACUAGAUGUCAUUAAAGACCAGCAAUGAGCAUGAUCUAUAAAAGCAGCUCAAAUGAACAAUGGCUCUGAAACAUUAGAGAUACACAUCAUCUGUGUUUUAUGGUCAGAGAUUGGCAGAGUAUGUGCCCUUGAUGUUUCUACUUUUCUGGGAGAAGAGUGGACAAGUGAUGUCUGAAAGAUGUCCAGUGAGGGGGAACACACUACCACCUAAAGCAAUCCGUCCCACUAUGGGAUUCAAUUUAAUUCAACAAAUAUUCAUAGGAAGACCCACAAAGGAAAGUUCUUGCUUCCAAAGUUCUUGGAAUUGCCAAAUGAUUCAACAUCAGAAACUGAUUUCUUGAUUCUAUACAGAUUGAUGAAAAAGAAUGACUUUACCUAGAAGACAGGAUCUCUGCAGAAGUAAGUGCCUCUUUUCUCUGAUUCUUAUUAAAUAGAGUCUAAUUUGGCUGAGGAAGCUACUCAAGACUCAUUAAAUCACAUUACACUCUGAAAGUUUUGCUAGUUUGUCCCCACUCAUUUAUCAUGGGCGUUCCCUGCAUGGUGGACAUGAUCGAUUUCUUUUUUAAAAAGAUCCCAAACCAACCUUGGCUGUAACUAAGCAACCCUCUUCCUACUUUGGAACCCUUACUAGAACCACCUCCACCCCUUACUUAAAAGGAACUUAACCUUAUCCAUUCUCUUUUGUGCUUCCAAAUUUAUUGAACUACCCUAUUUAACAGGUGCACACUCAACUGGGGAAAGUUCGGCAUGCUCUCAGGUAGGACAGAUAUUGACUUUUGCCUGCUGGAUCAGAACUUUGGGCCAAAGGCAAAAGAGGGAAUGUGUAUUAUAAUUAGAGACAAACAUGAAGGUUUCUAGAUACAAGAGUUGAAUUGGAACAAUCUUGUCCUAUGGUGAUAGAUUGUUUUCGUAACUAAACUGGCCUCAGAAAAUUACUCAGAUGUAGAGAGAUGCAUGGUGUGAAGGUAAUUUGGAUGACUGGCAGGAUGUUGUUGGUCCCAGUGUCAAAAAGGGGUCUCUAAAAGCUUCUUGCACAAAUAUUCUGUGAAGUGUUUAGAAUGUUUCCCUCUUAUUCCUACAUUAUAGCAGCACAGUUACCAUACACUUCCACAAUUAUGGAGUCACAUGUCAACUGUGUGAUUAGUAAAGGUGCUUCAAUUUACAUAAUGGGAUCUCUAAGCUUAUAAUGGUCACAAACCUUAAUCCACUGAUUCCCUUUGGCUAUGAAUAAGUAUAAAAUCUGCUAACUUUCCACCCAACUCAAUGCCAUUUCUAUCUGCUCCAGUGCCACAUUUAGCUGAUGAUUCUUGCUUUAUAUAACACUACUCAGUGCAGAGAGAA